rnacentral:siRNA from 1 species
ACGAACAUCCAGAAAAGCCGCCUU